rnacentral:rRNA from 1 species
UACGGGGGGAGCAAGCGUUGUUCGGAUUUACUGGGCGUAAAGGGCGCGUAGGCGGCCAGCACAAGUCAGUUGUGAAAUCUCCGAGCUUAACUCGGAAAGGUCAACUGAUACUGUGCGGCUAGAGUGCGGAAGGGGCAACUGGAAUUCUUGGUGUAGCGGUGAAAUGCGCAGAUAUCAGGAGGAACACCAAUGGCGAAGGCAGCUCGCUGGAACGGUACUGACGCUGAGGCGCGAAAGCGUGGGGAGCAAACAGG